GUUUUUCUUCUUCUUUGUGAUAGACAGCGGUCUCAAAUCUAGAGAUGGGUUGACCUCUGGUCACAUCAUAUAUGAAGAUCAGAAUGCGUGGAGCAAGACUCAAAGAGGGAGAUUAUAAAUAUAGAUUUAAUGUUCCCCGCAAAAAGAAAAAAGAUUUAAUGUUGAAAAAAAGAGAGUACCACAACGAAACCUUGAUAUCAAAGCAAAAUGCUAAUACGAGAAUAAAAAAUAGCUCAAAUCUUUAAACCCCAGAAGAGAGGCUUCUGGCGAUGCUUGUCGUCCAGUAGCUUUGAAGGCC
rnacentral:lncRNA from 1 species